CCUUCUCAAACAUUCUGUUUGGUAGUGAGUGAUACUCUUUGGAGUUAACUUGAAAUUGCUGGCCUUUUCAUUGGAUGUUUUUUUUCCAAAGAGAGGUUUCUCUGCGUGCUUGAGGUAUAAUGCAAGUACGGUCGUUUUAGGUUUUACCAACUGCGGCUAAUCUUUUUUAUACUGAGCGUAUUGGAACGUUAUCGAUAAGAAGAGAGCGUCUAGGCGAACAAUGUUCUUAAA
rnacentral:rRNA from 39 species